UACAGCUGAAUGUGGGAACAUUUUUAAGAAACAAAAUUGUAAUGUUGGAGGUGUCCUUCAGGUCUCUGACAGCCAUAAACACUCUUGGGGGAGCAGAGGAAGCAGAGGAAAAGCUGGUUGCACCGCUUUGUGGUUCACAAGUCUUUAUAAAUAGUAGUGCCUUUCAGAGGGGAGAACGGGAGAUAAAGAAGUUCAUUGUAUUUAGAGUGAUAAUAUGGCAGCAUUUUUUUCUUUAUUUUAAAAUAUCUUUUAAAAGAAACCAUCUGAACAUAGGGUGAGCCCAGGAAUUCACGAGUUUCGACCUCAGCUAUUCCUGAUUCGUCCUUUCUUACAGAAAGUCUUUGUUUUUUCCACCCCAAAUGUCCCCAUUGUUAAAAUGGGAGUUGGGGAGAAGGAGGGAGGAAUUAAUCUCAUAGGAAUGUUGGGAAAAUAGCUUUGUUGGGAUGUCUAAAAAAUACUUUGAUUUUUUUUUUAAGUGCUAUACACUGCCAGUGCUAAAAGAUUUUAUUGAUAGUAACUUUGAACAUUCCAGGAUUUCGAUAUUCUUGUCUUUGGAUACCAUUUGCAAACUCAUGAAAUUAAAUGCUGUAAAUUGAUCUUCAUUGGAGGCACUAGGUGCUCUUUGUCUGAAUGUUAUUUGGUCUUGAUGCUUUAAAAGGUUGUCUAAAAAAAAGGUUAGGCGAGCUGAUGAAGUGUUUGUUGAUAAACUGUUUUCUCCAGUAUGCCCUAUGGCAGCGGAAGCAAAGAGUGAGAUGCCCUCCAAAGCAAUUGUGAUGACCUUCUCAAGCUUUAUGCUCUGGAAAAAUUGACAGAGGAGAAUCAAAACAUCCCCUUUCCUCACUGGGAGGGCAGAAGUAAGAAUAAAAUAUUUUCUGAUUUCACAAUUCAUUUCUUCAGAGUCUCACAGGCACCUGUUAUAAGAAGCAAAUUAAAUUCACAGGUGUAGAAAUGAAUUGGACUGCUGGCUUUUAGAAGGAAAACCUUGGGUCUUUUUUUUUUUUUUUUUUUUUCUUUUUCUUUUUAGAUUGCUAGGUGUUUCUGGAGUCACCUAUUUGCUUUCUGAUCGUCUAUAUGAUUUACUGCCCAGGAGUUAGUCAUUACCUUUUCCUUGCCUAUGUGGAAAAACAUGGAAAUUUAGAUUUGCGAGAAUAUGAGGGGCAAAUAUGUUAUACACUGGAUGGUGGUUAUUUCUGUGUAUUAACGAAACCUUCGUCCCAUGAGCUUGAUAAAGGAGAAAAUAUUUCAAACAUAAGAGUCUCUAUAGUGGGGCCAACUCACCACUUCCUCAUUCAGUUUUGAGGAAUGUGGGCCUUAUUUCUUUAUUUCCUGUGUAGCGUCUCUGUGGAGUCUUGGUUAGGCAAACAUAAUGUGGGAGCUUUCCAUGGAUUUAUUUGCAUUACGGUUUUUCUUAACUAUUUAAAAUCUAGGGAUUGUUUGGAAAUGAAUGACUAAACCCAGGGUAGGGUUAGGAAAGAUAAGGUUUACACAUACUCCGUUAAGAAAAGGGGAGCUACCGUCUUGAUACCUAUUUUCUAAAGACUAUAAGGCUCUGAGUUGUUUCAUUAAUUUUAGAGAGUUUAAAAGGGCUGAAAUUUGUGCAUAGUGUUAGAUGUUUCUACUAGAGAAUAUUAUUCACGUGAGAAAUCUAUACGAAAAGAGAACACAGAAAUAUCACAGGCCAUGUUUUCUCUAAAAAUCAUUUCUUCCUCAUUUUCCAUAUAUGUAGAAGUUAGAGGAGAGGAAAAAGCAAGUACUCUAAGAUGAAUUUUCCUCUUUAAUGGACAUGGAUGGAAAGCCUGAAAUUAUACUCAUAGGCUAUUGAGUUUCCUGUCAGCUUGUUGGCUGGGAGAUUCUAAAAUGGGGUCAGAUUUAGUUUUUAUUCAAAUGAUCGAGAUUAACUGUUUAUUCAGAUAACUUAUUUUGGAUGGUGAGGAUGACUGAGAAAAUGGAGGGUGUUGGAAAAGCGUGCAAAUAGAAAUUUUCAGAAUCUCAAUCCUGAAGCUUAAUUUAAGCAAGCAAAUUUCCUAGCCCAGGAAUAGCUAGUAUAAAAGUUCCAUCAAUGCCCUGACUUCUAUCAAGAAAUGAAUCCACAUCCUGUAGGCUUAACGGGGACUGUUACCUUGAUCUCAGACUGUGGUUAUGAAUUUGAAGUUAACGAAACAUACAUCUUCUCUUAUGAACUUAAGCCAUAUCUGUCCUCUCUGUGUUUGAUUUUUUUUGACCCUGGUGCUUUUACUUCUGUUUCUGCCAAACUUCAGCCUAGUCUAUGGGGAAGGUGAGUAAAACUAGUAGUUAAGACAAAUGUGAAGACUGUGAAAAAAAACUAGACAUAUUCUUCAGAAUGAGAUCCUAGUCAGAGCACAAUAGUGAUCAAAGUGCAAACUGUUGGAAAAUAUGGAUAUAUGUACAUCUGUACAUGUAUAUAGUGUAUAAUAUGUAUGUAUAUGUUAUGGCUCAUAUGCAGAAAUCUAUCCAUUUGAAGACAGUCCAGGUGGGUCAGUUUUUCUAUUAGAAAACCAUUGAGAGCCAUUCAAAACCAUUAGGGCUGAUGGGGAGAGUUAGAUUCUACUCAUUGGGGAAUUAUUUGCUGUAUUCUGAAGUCUACAAAGCUUGAAACAUAAUGUGGCCAUCAUUUAAGUUAUUCUGUUUACCUGGAGUCAGAAGAAUCUUUGUUUGAAUUAAUAAUUGUUGGUUUGCGAACUUCAUUGGCACCCCUUAGUUUUGAGUGACCCCUCCCCACCAAGUCUUUUGAGAGUGUGGGCUUCUCUGACCAUUCAGAUAAAGGGCCUUAUCUAUAAGUGGACAGGUUUCCCCAUAGGGACCAUUACACAUAUACAUAUAAGUACAUACUUCCAUAACGCUUGUAACAGUUGAUUUAAAAUCACUCCACAGUAUUGAUAAAUAGCUCUAUAUUUUCAAGGUGCAGAAGAAUUCCACAGCCUUAAUUAUUUCAGUGUCUUGCUGGUCUGCCUUAAGUGUAUCUUCUGGGUUUUUGGUUGUCUCAUUAUUUUUAAAUUUUUCUGCAGUUGUUCAUUUUGUAUGCACACAACGUCGUUUUGUAAAGGUAGGUUGUAAAUAUUUUAUUUGUAAGUCAAAAUCACUCAUGUGUAAUGUUGUAAAGUGAUGAUCUGCUGUCUUGUUAUUAUUACUACAGUAAAUGUUAUAAGUUAUGGAUGAAACUUCAAAAUGUACAUCUCACAAGUUAUGCAUUCCUAUAAAUAUACUAUACU
rnacentral:lncRNA from 1 species